UGCCCAGUGAAUUUUUUAACGGCCGCGGUACUCUGACCGUGCAAAGGUAGCAUAAUCAUUUGCCUUAUAAUUGAAGGCUAGUAUGAAUGGUUUGACAAGAAUGUAGCUGUCUCUUUAUAAUUAAAUAGAAUUUUAUUUAUAGGUGAAGAAGCCUAUAUUAAAUUAAAAGACAAGAAGACCCUAUCGAGCUUGAAAGAAACUAAUAGAGUAAUAAUUAAUAAUACCAAAAAAUUUACUAUUAGAAAUUUUAGUUGGGGCGACUAAGGAACAAAAAAAGCUUCCUUUAAAAUUAAAAACUAAACAAGUAUUGAUCCAAAACAUUUUGAUUAAAGGAAUUAGUUACCGUAGGGAUAACAGCAUUAUCUUUUUUAAGAGCUCUUAUCGAAAAAAAGGUUUGUGACCUCGAUGUUGGACCAGAAUAUCCUAAAGAUGCAGCA
rnacentral:rRNA from 1 species